CUGAAGCAGCAACAAGAGGUGGAGAGGUGGGGAGAGAGUGAGACGGGAGGUGGACAGCCACCCGGGAGGCUGUGCUGGGGGGACAGCUCCCAGCUUAGCAGGGCCACUGGUGUGACUUCUGCCACUACCAGUGGAUUGUCCCUGACCUGUGGGCUUCUCAACCAUAGGGGCAUUUCCCUUACCAGAGAGAGUAGGCAAUGCUGUGCAGUGUCAUUUAAUAAGACAUUUUUGCUAGAAAAUAAUUAUUUUCCCUCAGGGUUUGGCCUCACAAGUGGGGUCAUUACAUUUAACAUAGUUAAAUAAAGUUCCACAUGAAGGGAAAUCCCAGCACCCUAUCUUCCAGGAGAGUAGAGUGGCAGGUACCACGUGCAGCUAUAAAAACACUCAGGCCUGGAAUCCCUCUCCCCAUCUGUCCUCGGGUUGGGGUCCCAGGUGACUACCCCUGGUGACACCCCAGGUUCUGGCCCAUCUCUUGGAUCAGCUCUUCUUCAGGUUUUAGUAUCUUCUUUUUUUUUUUAAACUGAAGCCAUUUCCUCGUCUUGGUUUAAAAUCUUAGCUCUUCUGCAGGCCUGUGUCUUGAUACUUAACCCUUGAAUUACCCACCUCCAGCCUUGGCAGGUCGCAGGAGAACCAUAGAGCUGCCUCAGCAGCUCUUUCUCCAGCAAUGGAGGGCAAGGAGAAAGGGGGCUGAUGGAGAACACCCUGCGCACUCUGGUCUGACUCUGGUGACUGCAGUGACAGUGAGCAGGAUCAGGAAUGGGUCCUACUUGGGAAGCUGAGGGUCACAGUCGUCAGACCUGCCCUACCUCGCACGCCUGUCUGAAGCAGGAGUUCAAGUGUGUGGUGAGUGCUCCAGCAAAGAGCCAGCCGAGUUGACUGAGCAGCUCAAAUGCCAGCCUGGGAAUGAGGGGAGUGAAGUCAGAGGCCAGUGAUGUGGGAAGACCCUCCACAGGGCCUAUUACAUGUCUGUCUCUGAAGGUCAAUCUCUGCAAAGCAGCAUGUGGAGACAUCUCUGGGUACAGAUGUCAAGCGUCUCCAGCUCUGAAGGUCAGGCCAGAAGCUGCCCACCGUGCUGCAGGAGGACUCGGAGGGGACAAGAGGCCUCAACUUAACAGAUGA
rnacentral:lncRNA from 1 species